GACGAACGCUGGCGGCGUGCUUAACACAUGCAAGUCGAACGAAGAGCGAUGGAAGCUUGCUUCUAUCAAUCUUAGUGGCGAACGGGUGAGUAACGCGUAAUCAACCUGCCCUUCAGAGGGGGACAACAGUUGGAAACGACUGCUAAUACCGCAUACGAUCUAAUCUCGGCAUCGAGGAUAGAUGAAAGGUGGCCUCUACAUGUAAGCUAUCACUGAAGGAGGGGAUUGCGUCUGAUUAGCUAGUUGGAGGGGUAACGGCCCACCAAGGCGAUGAUCAGUAGCCGGUCUGAGAGGAUGAACGGCCACAUUGGGACUGAGACACGGCCCAGACUCCUACGGGAUGCAGCAGUGGGGAAUCUUCCGCAAUGGACGAAAGUCUGACGGGGCAACGCCGCGUGAGUGAUGACGGCCUUCGGGUUGUAAAGCUCUGUUAAUCGGGACGAAAGGCCUUCUUGCGAAUAGUGAGAAGGAUUGACGGUACCGGAAUAGAAAGCCACGGCUAACUACGUG
rnacentral:rRNA from 1 species